rnacentral:snRNA from 1 species
AUGCUCACGUCAGCAGCACGUAUACUAAAAUGGGAACAGUACGUACAAGAUGAGUGUGGCUCCUGCACAAAGAUGACGUGCAAAUUUGUGUGAAGUUCCAUAUUUUG